rnacentral:rRNA from 2 species
CUUGGUGAGUAUAGCUAUGGGGGUACACCUAGUUACAUUCCGAACCUAGAAGUUAAGCCCAUAUACGCUGAUGGUACUUGGCUGGAAGCGGCCUGGGAGAGUAUGGAUUUGCCAAG